UUGAAAUUUGAACAGAAGUCGGAAAUACAGACUACAUACGUACAGAGUUGUAUUCAUACGUUUUAGUAAAAAAUUUCCAUGCAUAAGUGUAUUCUUUUUAGUAAAACAUCCAAAGUAUCGUCUCGACGCAUUACCUUAAUUUUCAUUUGUAAGUAUUAUUUUCUAGUUGUACUCAGUGGCGUCAUUAGGGUGGCAAGGUGGGCAUUUGCCCCUGCCUGAUUUUAAAAGCGGCCCGAUCCGGAGAAAACAAAAAGAUAAUUUAGGAAAAAUGGUUAUUUUAACGCAACACCAAUUUUUGACAAUAAUUGAUUUUGUUUUAUUGGUGUAACUAAAAAAAAUAAUUGUAGAUACAUGAUUUGUUCACCGAAUGUUCCUAUUAGCAUUUCUUAUAAACCAUACAAUUUUUAAAAUAAUUUUACUCUUUUUGAGCUAAUAAUGGGGAUAAGACAUUUUAAUUUUUUUCGAAUAGUUUUGUUUUUAAAAUUAUUGUCAAUAAAAAGUUCUUUGCUAUGUCAAAAAGUUUGAAAAUGUAAUACCUAAAAGGAUCCUUAUAGUUACUAUAAUAUCUGUUCAAAAAUAUUAAAGACACAUGACCACUUUUUGUCAUAAAGUUCACAUUUUGACAAAAUUCAACAACAAUUUGCUAAUUAUUUUGUAGUUAAAAAUGUAUAAAAUGUUCAAUAGUCAAGGGUUAACAAAUUUUUAGACUUUUAAUAAGUAUUUCAUAUUGUACGUACUUGAAUCUUUUAAAGUAUAUCAAAUGAAAUGUUUUUGGUGAAAAUUAAUUCAAUCUACUAUUUUACUAAAUGUAGAGAAAAUUACUUUAACAGCAUUACCAUAAAGUAUAGGUACUCAUAUUGCAAUAUAGUCUUUGGCUCUUCGCUCAGUAUCGUUUUUUCAUAUAAAAUGAUUUUAUAUCAUUAAAUUAAUUUUAACACAAUAUCCAUAAUACUGACCCACCAGCCACCACCCAUACAUGAGCCACCUAACCCAUACAUGAGCCGUGAAAAGAUGGCCAUAUAUAUUGAUUUUGUUGCUGAUUUAAUUGACUGUUAAAAGAAUCUGGAUGUCCUACAGUUUACUGGUCGUCAAACCCAUUCCCAUUGAUGAAACUUACUUCUCAACAAGGAAAGACAAACUUCUUUGACUGAUGCUAGAUGUUUUAUGGGAUCUAAAUAAUGAUAAAGAAUAUACAUUCAGAAAUGUAUAACUUAUUAAUUGAUACAUAUAUUCAUGACCCAAAGUAAAAGUAUAUUUAUACAUUUUUUGUUAAUUUUUAUUAUUAUUAUACAUAAAUGACUAAUU